GUAGGUGGCAAGCGUUGUCCGGAAUUAUUGGGCGUAAAGCGCGCGCAGGCGGUUUUUUAAGUCUGAUGUGAAAGCCCACGGCUCAACCGUGGAGGGUCAUUGGAAACUGGAGAACUUGAGUACAGAAGAGGAAAGCGGAAUUCCACGUGUAGCGGUGAAAUGCGUAGAGAUGUGGAGGAACACCAGUGGCGAAGGCGGCUUUUCUGGUCUGUAACUGACGCUGAGGCGCGAAAGCGUGGGGAGCAAACAGGGAUUAGAUACCCUGGUAGUCCACGCCGUAAACGAUGAGUGCUAAGUGUUAGGGGGUUUCCGCCCCCUUAGUGCUGCAGCUAACGCAUUAAGCACUCCGCCUGGGGAGUACGGCCGCAAGGCUG
rnacentral:rRNA from 1 species